UACGAAGGUGGCAAGCGUUGUUCGGAAUUACUGGGCGUAAAGCGCGUGUAGGCGGCUCUUCAAGUCAGGCGUGAAAGCCCUGAGCUCAACUCAGGAACUGCGUUUGAUACUGUCGAGCUAGAGUGUGGAAGGGGCAAUCGGAAUUCCGUGUGUAGCGGUGAAAUGCGUAGAUAUACGGAGGAACACCAGAGGCGAAGGCGGAUUGCUGGGCCAACACUGACGCUGAGACGCGAAAGCCAGGGUAGCAAACGGG
rnacentral:rRNA from 1 species